UUCCCUAACAUCUGCCUUGAUCAUUGUUAUGGAUUGAGAACUGGUGGUCAACUUAAUGCCAGCUGGAUUACAUCAGCAUGCAUUGCACUAAGAUGCUCCACCUGAGGAGCGUUGACAGGAAAAAGAGGUGGAGAAGAAGGGAGGUGUUGAGGGUUGAGGUGUUAAGAAGGCGUUGUGAGUUCUACAAGUUGCUGUCUGAGCUGUUGGUUCUGGAGAAGCUUUGGUCCUCACAUGGAGCAUUGCUUCCUGGCUCCAGAGGGGAAGACUUGUGCUGCUUGGUCUCAAGGAUGAACUUGUCACGCUGGCUUCCCAAGGAAACAUCUUGGUCCUGUCCCAUCUCUGCUGCCCCAACAGAGGCUGAAGGUGUCAGAAAUCUACCUAUCCAAUCUGGCAUCCCCAACCUCAUGUUUCUCUUGGGCCUUCCCUUCUGAGCAGAGAACAUCUGGAGCAAAUUCAGCUGGCCCUUAGGAGCCCUCCUGUACAGUGUCAUCAUUGGGGUAAUCAAGGCCCAUCUGUUCAUCAGCAUCUUCCUGGUGGUGCCAUUAGCCAGGACAGGUACAAGGUACUGGUGCAUCCCGUGGUCAGGUCCUGAGACCACUGGAAUGAAAGCUACCAGCUCUUCUGGAGGAAUUAAAACAGCAAUGAGCCAGUGAGCUUGGCUUGCUUGUUGCUUCUUUCUGACACUGUAAAAACUAGAAGCUGAUGACAGCCACCAAGAUACUUAGGACCUGGCCUUGUGAUCUGUGAAUGUACCUUAUGGAGUAAGGAGGACUUUAUGGACUUCCAGAGGAGGAAAUGAUCCUGGGCUAACUGGGGAACAAUAAAAUCAGAAGAAUCCUUAUAAGAAGGCAGCAGGAAGCACAGACUCAGACAGGAGGAGACAAGCACAGGUCUGAGAGAUCCAGGAAAGUGGCCUAGAGCCAUGGUUUUCACGCGCCCUCUAGUGGCAGAAACACAUGUGACACCUGAUUCUUCGUGGUCCUUCAUGGAGCAACCAACUGCUUGAGCCCCAUUUCCACAGCU